rnacentral:rRNA from 1 species
GGUGACGAAGCGACGCCGCGUGUGGGAUGAAGGCCUUCGGGUUGUAAACCACUGUCGGGAGUUAAGAAUUGUAGGAAUGCUAAUAGUAUUUCUACUUGACUAAGGCUCCGGAGGAAGCCACGGCUAACUCUGUGCCAGCAGCCGCGGUAAUACAGAGGCGGCAAGCGUUGUUCGGAAUUAUUGGGCGUAAAGAGCAUGUAGGCGGCUAUGUAAGUCGGUUGUGAAAGCCUUCCGCUUAACGGAAGAAUGGCGGUCGAAACUGCAUGGCUUGAGUGCGGGAGGGGAGAGUGGAACUUCUGGUGGAGCGGUGAAAUGCGUAGAUAUCAGAAGGAACGUCGGCGGCGAAAGCGACUCUCUAGACCGUAACUGACGCUGAGUGUGCGAAAGCUAGGGGAGCAAACGGGAUUAGAUACCCCGGUAGUCCUAGCCGUAAACGGUGGGCACUAAGUAGAGGGGUUU